rnacentral:rRNA from 1 species
GUAGGGGGCAAGCGUUGUCCGGAUUUACUGGGCGUAAAGAGCGCGUAGGCGGAGAUCUAAGCGUGGCCUGAAAGCCCCCGGCUCAACCGGGGAGUGCGGCUGCGAACUGGGUCUCUUGAGGACGAUAGAGGAGAGUGGAAUUCCUGGUGUAGCGGUGAAAUGCGUAGAUAUCAGGAGGAACACCCGAGGCGAAGGCGGCUCUCUGGGUCGUACCUGACGCUGAGGCGCGAAAGCGUGGGGAGCGAACAGGAUUAGAUACCCUGGUAGUCCACGCCGUAAACGAUGGGCACUAGACGCGGGUGGGAUCGACCCCUUCCGUGUCGCAGCUAACGCGAUAAGUGCCCCGCCUGGGGAGUACGGCCGCAAGGCUG